CGCGUAGGUGGUUUGAUAAGCGAGAUGUGAAAGCCCCGGGCUUAACCUGGGAACGGCAUUUCGAACUGUCAGGCUAGAGUAUGGUAAAGGAGUGUGGAAUUUCCUGUGUAGCGGUGAAAUGCGUAGAUAUAGGAAGGAACACCAGUGGCGAAGGCGGCACUCUGGACCAAUACUGACACUGAGGUGCGAAAGCGUGGGGAGCAAACA
rnacentral:rRNA from 1 species